rnacentral:rRNA from 1 species
AGGGCGCAUGGUGAAUGCCUUGGCAUCAGGAGCCGAUGAAGGACGCGAUAAGCUGCGAUAAGCUUCGGGUAGGCGCAAAUAGCCUGUGAUCCGGAGAUUUCCUAAUGAGGAAACUCACAUGGGUAACCCCAUGUAUCCUUAAGUGAAUACAUAGCUUAAGGAGGGCAGACCCAGGGAACUGAAACAUCUAAGUACCUGGAGGAAGAGAAAGAAACAUCGAUUCCGUUAGUAGCGGCGAGCGAAAGCGGAAGAGCCCAAACCAGAAACUUGUUUCUGGGGUUGCGGACAGAUCAUAAAAGGCAAAGAUGGUUAACUGAAUAUUUCUGGAAAGUUAAGCCGUAGAGUGUAAUAGCCACGUAAGUGAAAGCUAUCAAUGCUAAGAUCUGAUCCAGAGUACCACGAGACACGUGAAACCUUGUGGGAAGCAGGGAGGACCACCUCCCAAGGCUAAAUACUACCUGAUGACCGAUAGUGAAGAAGUACCGUGAGGGAAAGGUGAAAAGAACCCCGGGAGGGGAGUGAAAUAGAACCUGAAACCGUGUGCCUACAACCGGUCAAAGCACUAUGUUUUAUACAGUGUGAUGACGUGCUUUUUGUAGAACGAUCCAGCGAGUUACGGUAUGCAGCGAGGUUAAGCACUUAAGGUGCGGAGCCGAAGGGAAACCGAGUCUGAAUAGGGCGUAGAGUUGCAUGCUGUAGACCCGAAACCGGGUGACCUAUCCAUGGACAGGGUGAAGCGGAAGUAAAAUUCCGUGGAGGCCCGAACCACGUUGGUGUUGAAAAACCAUGGGAUGAGCUGUGGAUAGCGGAGAAAUUCCAAUCGAACUCGGAGAUAGCUGGUUCUCCUCGAAAUAGCUUUAGGGCUAGCGUCGGACUAAUGAGUAAUGGAGGUAGAGCACUGAAUGGGCUAGGGGGCAUUGCGCUUACCGAACCCUAUCAAACUCCGAAUGCCAUAUACUUCUACUCCGGCAGUCAGACUGCGAAUGAUAAGAUCCGUAGUCAAGAGGGAAAAAGCCCAGAUCGUCAGCUAAGGUCCCUAAGUGUAAGUUAAGUGGAAAAGGAUGUGGGAUUUCUAAGACAACUAGGAUGUUGGCUUAGAAGCAGCCACUCAUUUAAAGAGUGCGUAAUAGCUCACUAGUCGAGAGAUCCUGCGCCGAAGAUGUCCGGGGCUCAAACUUACCACCGAAGCUACGAAUAGCAGAUAUCAGAUGUGAGAUAACAGAUAAGAGAAUUAAAAUUUCUCCUUCGGAGAAAUUAAAAAAAUCUGACACCUGUUACCUGACACCUGAUAUCUGCUGUGGUAGAGGAGCAUCCUGUACGGGCUGAAGUCAUACCGAAAGGAGUGGUGGACUGUACAGGAGAGAGAAUGCUGGAAUAAGUAGCGAGAAAAGAGUGAGAAUCUCUUUGGUCGAAAACCUAAGGUUUCCUGGGGAAGGCUCGUCCGCCCAGGGUUAGUCGGGACCUAAGCUCAGGCCGAAAGGCGUAGGCGAUGGACAAUCGGUUGAUAUUCCGAUACCACUACAACGCGUUAUUACCGAUGGGGUGACGCAGGAGGAUAAGAUGUGCUCACUAUUGGAUGUGGGUCUAAGUACUUAGGCAGAACAGAUAGGCAAAUCCGUCUGUUCAAUGCUGAGGUGCGAUGGGGAGCGAAAUUUUAGUAGCGAAGUAUCUGAUUCCACGCUGCCAAGAAAAGCCUCUAGGGAGUGAAGUAGUGCCCGUACCGCAAACCGACACAGGUAGGUGAGGAGAGAAUCCUAAGACCAGCGGAAGAAUUGCAGUUAAGGAACUAGGCAAAUUGACCCCGUAACUUCGGGAGAAGGGGUGCCUACGAGAGUAGGCCGCAGAGAAUAGGCCCAAGCAACUGUUUAGCAAAAACACAGGUCUCUGCUAAAGCGAAAGCUGAUGUAUAGGGGCUGACGCCUGCCCGGUGCUGGAAGGUUAAGGGGAUUGCUUAGCGCAAGCGAAGGCAUGAACUUAAGCCCCAGUAAACGGCGGCCGUAACUAUAACGGUCCUAAGGUAGCGAAAUUCCUUGUCGGGUAAGUUCCGACCCGCACGAAUGGCGUAAUGAUUUGGGCACUGUCUCAACUGCAAAUCCGGCGAAAUUGUAGUGCAAGUGAAGAUGCUUGCUACCCGCGAUUGGACGGAAAGACCCCGUAGAGCUUUACUGUAGCUUAGCAUUGAGUUUCGGUAUUAUCUGUACAGGAUAGGUGGGAGACUUGGAAGCAAGGGCGUCAGCCUUUGUGGAGUCACCCUUGGGAUACCACCCUGAUGAUACUGAGAUUCUAACCGGAGGCCAUGAAUCUGGUCACGGGACAUUGUUAGGCGGGCAGUUUGACUGGGGCGGUCGCCUCCUAAAAUGUAACGGAGGCGCUCAAAGGUUCCCUCAGAACGGUUGGAAAUCGUUCGAAGAGUGCAAAGGCAGAAGGGAGCCUAACUGCGACACCUACAAGUGGAGCAGGGACGAAAGUCGGACUUAGUGAUCCGGUGGUACCUCGUGGGAGGGCCAUCGCUCAACGGAUAAAAGCUACCUCGGGGAUAACAGGCUGAUCUCCCCCAAGAGUCCACAUCGACGGGGAGGUUUGGCACCUCGAUGUCGGCU